GCGUCUGUAGCUCAGUUGGUUAGAGCACCACCUUGACUUGGUGGGGGUCGAUGGUUCGAGUCCAUUCAGACGCACCA
rnacentral:tRNA from 1 species